GACGAACGCUGGCGGCGUGCUUAACACAUGCAAGUCGAACGGAAAGGCCCUGCUUUUGUGGGGUGCUCGAGUGGCGAACGGGUGAGUAACACGUGAGUAACCUGCCCUUGACUUUGGGAUAACUUCAGGAAACUGGGGCUAAUACCGGAUAGGAGCUCCUGCUGCAUGGUGGGGGUUGGAAAGUUUCGGCGGUUGGGGAUGGACUCGCGGCUUAUCAGCUUGUUGGUGGGGUAGUGGCUUACCAAGGCUUUGACGGGUAGCCGGCCUGAGAGGGUGACCGGCCACAUGGGGAGGGAGCGCGGGACACGCGUGUGGAGGGGGGGAGGGGGGGGGAAGAUUGAGCGCGGGGGGGGAGCCUGAGGAAGGGGGGGGGCGGGGGGAGUGAGGGCUUUGGGGUUUGAAGCCGCUCGCGGGGGUGGGGAGGGGGGGAGGGCGGUAAGGGAAGAGGAAGCGCGGGCAAACGAGGCGCCAGAAGCCGGGGUAAUAAAGGGAGGCGCCAGGUCUGCAC
rnacentral:rRNA from 1 species